UUCUCAUGCGUCAGCUCCUCCCCGUUGGCGCCUCUGAAGCGCAGUGCGUGUUCGUGGCUGUGAGCGGCGGCGUGCAGCCAGGCGGCGGAGUUGAGGCAGUGGUAAGUAAAGGUCUGCUUGGCCGUCGCGCUCAACAGCUGCAGGAAGGUCAACUGGACCACAUGGACUGGAACGUCGUCCCACCCGGAGUAGGAAAUCUGGGUUAGGACACCGGAAUCACACACAUAAAGUACACAGAAAGUACAGAUAGACAGGAAGGGGAGGAGAGAGCGCGAGAGGAUGACACACAGCAGAGAGUCAAGGAGUCCGCCUCAUGGAUGUUUUAAGAGAACUGGAUACAGAGUUCGGCGGUACGUUCCAAUGAGAGUGCUCAAAAGCGCAUAAAGCAAUCAUGGAGCUCGGAUCUUCCGCGUUGACUGGCCCAUGACGUCACGAAGGACAUGCGCACUAGCAAAAAAAAGGUUGCAGACACGUCUCUCCCUGUGCAGUGAAGUUACAAAACACUUUGAAGGAGUCUCUAUGGCAACCCUGGUUGGGAUCUAUCCAGUACUCACCUGGAGAGAGAGAGAGAGAGGGAGAGAGAAAAAGGAAGAGGAGGACAGAGGGGUCAAAUAAAUUCAACUACUGUCAACAACAAGAAAACCAGAGGGAAAUCCUGCAGAUAAUAUCAGCUGGACAGCAAGGAAGAAAUACAGAUAAAAUGAGUUCAGACAUGCAGGCAGACAGCUGUGACAUUACUAAUGGCUGGAGACACAAACUGAUAAAGUACCGUUGGGGAGAUCUGGGUGGAGGAGCCAGAGCUCCUUGCAGGUGCGGGCGGGGCUGUGGUACGUCCCUUGCGGGUUUCGCAGAUCCUCCACCUCUACUUUCAUAGAGGACAAAGACGCAAAUACUUCUUCCAUGCCUUGGCCCUCCUCCUUCAUCUGAACGUCCUGCUCCGCCUGGUCCCUCUGCAUCCAUUCCUCCUCUCCUCCAUCUAUCGCCUCUUCCUCUUCAAGUGCAGCACCAUCCACCAAGGUGUGGGUUCUCCUUCUCCGUCCUCGCUCUGGCAGAGGGGAUAUGCCGACUGCUGGCAUUCCCUGAGGAGAAGGGAGGAGGGACACAGGAACAGCGCAGGAAAAAACAGAUGUUUUGUUUCUGCUAACUGUCAGUUAAGGAGAGUUGUAUGGCUGUUGGAUGCACUACGUUUCUGUAAGCAGAACUCACUGGUGGCCCUGGAGGUCCUACAGGUCCAGUGUCUCCUCUGGGACCAAUUGGACCCUAAAUCCACACAGAGCAAAGGGAUAACUUCAGGGUGGUAGAGAGACAGACCCGUGGGGCCAGGGGGGCCGGGGGGACCAUGUGGACCGAGUAGACCCUGAUAUUAAACACGAAAGAAACAAAACUGUCAGAUAAAGAGAACAACACCUCAUCUCCUUUUGGACCCAUUAGUCCCUGGUUUCCUGGCAGUCCUCUGUCGCCCUUCUCUCCGAUGUCUCCUGGUGGGCCUAUCAGACCUAUCAGACCGCCGUGGCCCUGCACAGAUGUCACAAAGGAGCACGGGGUCAAAGCCGAGUCAAGCUCGGAGUGAAUGUUUGUGUGUGAAGUAUGCACCCACCUUGUCUCCCUUCUUGCCAUGGUCUCCCUUUAGUCCUAGUAAUCCCGGUGGACCCUGCCAAGAUGAAGUUAUGAGUCAAAUGUACAUGUUUUUAUCAGGAUACAAUAUAUUGAUUCUUUGGACAACGAUACAAUAUUUACAAAGUCUGCCACGAUACCAUUUCGAUUUUAUUCAAUUCAGGGGCCUGCAACCCAUAUGAGACAAUACCAUAAGCCCAUUUAACACGAUCAUUUAUAUAUAUUUACAAAAAACAACUAUCAUCACUAAGCUCUUCCAGACAUUUAAAUCAAAACUCUUUUUACUGAAAAGAAUAGAUAUAAAGUGUGAAUUUCAAAAUAAAGGCACAUCUUAAAGAUGACGAUAUGUAUUGGGGGGGGUGGC